rnacentral:lncRNA from 1 species
UUAGUGGCUGUCCAACAACUUUUUUUCAUGAAUAAAUUAUUACUAACUAGGUUGUCCGUUUUUUAAUUUUAUUUUUUUUUUUUUUUUUAGUCGGAUUAACUUGCACGGAUUAAUUGUUUACAUCAAGACUAGCAAUGUGCACUAGUAAAGUAAAAGUCAACUUUGAUUUCAUGCGGACUUUAAUAAAAAUAUGAUGAAUGUUAAUAUAGUCCCUUUUCAUAGCAAAAGCCUGCUCUUUAGAGUUGUUUCACUAACGAGCAGUGGACAUGAAAUGCUUUCCUGAGGUAAAUGUAAAGUCACCUUACAUGCAGGCUGCUUUCCUGACGUUUCCGCGGUUGAAUUACACGAGGCACGACACUUUCAGAGAAACAUCUGAGCCUACAUUGAUAAUUGAAUAACUGAGAUCUCCAUUAAGUCUUCUGAGGUAAAUGUGACGGUACGUGACAUUGUUUACAAGCUGUUAUGUUGACAUCUUUGCAUGGUUAAAACACUGAUUGAUCGAUUACAUGAGACGGGAUACAGAUUUUGGUCUAGACCGCCGUUCGUUCUCUGAGCCCCUCGUCUUCAUCUAUCUCAGUACGAGUGCCUCUCGCUUCAUUAAACACGCACAGGGCAUCGACACAUGCGGCCGCCAUCCAUCAAACUGCGUUCUGUUUAUUUUCAGAGCUAAGAAAGACCUAUUUAACUGUGAGCAGGUUGCAUCAGUGUGUGUGUGUGUGUACGCGAACAUGAGGUGUGUGAUUCACCUGUCAGAAUGUCCCGUCAGGAGAUUUCUGCUCUCACCUGAACUGAAAGGCACAUUGAUGGCGCGGCGGACCGAAAUAACUGCUGAUGUCAUGUGUUUUGGGACCGAGAAACUGUGAGAGUCAGAAACAUAUGGACAUUAUUCAAACCCUGGCAGCUCGAGCACUGCUCAGAUAUUAGUCUGAUACCAGCGUUAGUCUCUUGACUAUCACUGUAAAGUCCAGUCAACACUGCAGCAAGGAACCGCCCACUUAGAAUGAUUGACAUGUGAAGCGACCAAUCGUGGUGUAUAUUUAGAGGCAGGUGAUUUGAAGAUGCAGUAUCAAUAGAACAAUGCAGCAUAAUAAUACGCUUGUUUAGAUAUCACAGAGGACAUUGAUUGAAUGAAUAAUUACUCAGAUGUUAUUUGAAUAAUUGUUCACACAGCUACUUUUACACGCUGUAUCUUGUUGGAUUAAUUUGUAAUUUGCGUAAGAAACCUUUAAGUGAUUCAUUUCCCAGAUGAUUCCAGUUCAAGAUAAGUUUAAAAGAGCAUAAAAACUUGUGUAUAUUUAUAUAGUGAGAGUAAAGACAUUCAUGUUAUGAAAGAUUUCUAUUUCAAAUAAAUGCUGUUUUUUUUAACAUCAUAUAAGAGCGAUUGCAUUCCAAUAUGCAAAUCAGCAAUCAGAAUGACUUAUGAAGGAUCAUGUGACACUGAAGACUGGCAUAUUGAUGCUAAAAUUCAAUUUUACAUAACAGGAAUAAAUUACAUUUUACAGUAUAUUCACAUAGAAAGCAGUUAUUUUAAAUUAUAAUAAUAUUUCAUAUUUUACUGUAUUUUUUAUCAAAUAAAUGCAGCCUUGGUGAGCAGAAGAUACUUCUUUCAAAAACUAAAAAAAAAAAAAUCUUUAAACGUUGCAUGGUAUUGCAUAUAUAAGCUAAUUAAAUGCUGACGUUUAUGCCAUUUUAGUUUUUAAAUUAGGGUGGUUUUUAUUUUAACUGGUAUUUAUUGUUUGUGUCAAACUUUGUUCAUCCAGAUACUAAAUAUACUAAACUUCAGCAGCGAGUUCUUUCUCAGAAAUGCUCAUUUUGCAGCGUGCAAACUGUUUUUAUUUUACAUCAGACUGACUUUUGAAAUUGUAUUAAGUCACUCAUUUGGAUUGACAGAGUUGGAGAUUUUCUCCAGACAUAUUAUACAUUUGUGUGUCGAGGCUGAGAUGAGUAAACACCAGCAGCACAUACAUCUGAUUCCUGUAUUUUCCAUUGCAUAUAGACUCAAAGUACAGCAGUGUUUGUACACAUGAGAAAGCAGCACACAGUAGAUGUUAAACACAGUGUUCUCUCUUUCUAAUAAUGGCUUGUGAAACAGCCUUUAAACGCUGUAAUGCCUCCACAGCAUGUAGAGAUUUAAAGUGCGAUUUGGUUAAUUAGCUUGUUUUGACACAGUGUGUGUUUAAAUGAGAGUUUAUAGGCAGGGAGAGGAUCGCUGUGUGAGAACGCUGCUGUCUCAGAGCCUCAUGGGAACACGAGAAGACGGGCCUCUUAAAUGCCUUGGAUGGUUUUAUUUUAUAGCAAAACCCAAAACAUUCCCCCGGUGGUUUAAGGUGCCGAUCGGAUGGAGUUGUUUUCACUGGCAGUAUUUAAAUCCCUCUUUUAGUGUAAAUCGCUGGGAUUUUUCUUGUGUCCAUUACAUUGUCCAGAAAGUGAAAAUUGUCCGUGUUUUAGUAAAGUAACAGCUCACUUCAUUCACUCCAACCUAAUUAGUAAUGUUAGUUUGUUAGUGUUAUGCAAAAUACUGAGGCUUUAGUUAAUUAAAAUGACUAAAAUUGUAAAAUUGCAUGAAUUAUCAAUGUAGUUUAACCUUUAA